rnacentral:rRNA from 1 species
GGCGGACGGGUGAGUAAUGCAUAGGAAUCUGCCCGAUAGUGGGGGAUAACCUGGGGAAACCCAGGCUAAUACCGCAUACGUCCUACGGGAGAAAGGGGGCUUCGGCUCCCGCUAUUGGAUGAGCCUAUGUCGGAUUAGCUAGUUGGUGAGGUAACGGCUCACCAAGGCCACGAUCCGUAGCUGGUCUGAGAGGAUGAUCAGCCACAUCGGGACUGAGACACGGCCCGAACUCCUACGGGAGGCAGCAGUGGGGAAUAUUGGACAAUGGGGGCAACCCUGAUCCAGCCAUGCCGCGUGUGUGAAGAAGGCCCUCGGGUUGUAAAGCACUUUCAGCGAGGAAGAACGCCUAGCGGUUAAUACCCGCUAGGAAAGACAUCACUCGCAGAAGAAGCACCGGCUAACUCCGUGCCAGCAGCCGCGGUAAUACGGAGGGUGCAAGCGUUAAUCGGAAUUACUGGGCGUAAAGCGCGCGUAGGUGGCUUGAUAAGCCGGUUGUGAAAGCCCCGGGCUCAACCUGGGAACGGCAUCCGGAACUGUCAAGCUAGAGUGCAGGAGAGGAAGGUAGAAUUCCCGGUGUAGCGGUGAAAUGCGUAGAGAUCGGGAGGAAUACCAGUGGCGAAGGCGGCCUUCUGGACUGACACUGACACUGAGGUGCGAAAGCGUGGGUAGCAAACAGGAUUAGAUACCCUGGUAGUCCACG